GAGCUUGAGAAGGAAUCAGAUUCUGCAUAUAUUUCCAAGUUAACAUGAACAAGAUUUUCUGAAAGACUGCUAUGGAGUCUGAGAAAAAAGUGUCAAAGAUUGAGGACAUGAGGAGGAAAGAACUGACAGAGGAGAUGAAGAAAGGUGAUCAGGAAGAGCCAUCAAAGUGUUAUCCUGGAAUUCAAGUGAAGACAGUGUUUCAAAGUGGAAAUGAACAGUGUCCUGUAACCCUCAGGUGAGACUAGAGUCAGAAUGCAGGCUUUUCUCAUUUGAAAUCUCUCACCUGUCUUCUCUCCCCCACUUCUGUGUUCCUGACUGAAAGGCAUACAAGGAAUCAACAUAUGCAAGGAAACAAAUAAGAGUGGUUGUGCUACCAAGGCCUGAAACUUUGGAAAAACCUGCAUAACACAAAAUAUUAAAUAUGCCACAGAGAGGAUCCAGAGAGCCCAUCUUCAGUCAGUUAUCUGUAUUUGCAUGUCAACUACAGCAUCAAGAAGCAUAGGCAUGGAUACUAAGGACCCCCUCUGUACACCAAAGCCAGUCCAAAGGACAGUGUGUCACUGUGAACUGUAAAUUCAUCUCUCUUCUUCAUCUUUUUUCUACCUACUUUAUGCUUUAUCUCUAAGUUGAGGCUGUUUAUGGCCUCAUCCUCAAUUACCUUGUCCC
rnacentral:lncRNA from 1 species